ACGGAGGGCGCAAGCGUUGUUCGGAAUUACUGGGCGUAAAGCGCGGGCAGGUGGCCCGUUAAGUCUGCGGUGAAAUCCCCGGGCUUAACCUGGGAAUUGCGCUUGAAACUAGCGGGCUUGAGUGCGGCAGAGGGGGGUGGAAUUCCACGUGUAGCAGUGAAAUGCGUAGAGAUGUGGAGGAACACCGAUGGCGAAGGCAGCCCCCUGGGUCGACACUGACGCUCAUGCACGAAAGCGUGGGGAGCAAACAGGA
rnacentral:rRNA from 1 species